UACGGACACGUAUGAUGAGCACAAAACAAGUCUGUAACUGGUCGCCAUUUUGUGAGGGUCAUUCAUUCGCGGUUCAAUCAGUUAUGGGGUGAUUCUUGAAUGAUGUCUGUGUCUGUGCAACCAGAGUCGGUUUAUUGUGUGUAUUUAAAUUGUGAUGAAAGUCAGCAUUUGAUCGUCGUCAUUCGCGGACGCACAAAACAACUUUGAACACACACAUCACAAGAAACGUGUCGUCCUAACAUUAAAAAUGGUUGUGGACGCCAUGCUUUCCUGAGAGGGUCCUUCGCGGCAGUUUGGUCGGUUAACGAUCUGAUCUCAUCAUCAUCCAGUCUGUCUGGAAUGACAUGAAGAAACAGAACGAGACAGACUAAAUCCAGAAGAUCUGUGGCAACGUCUUUAAGAUGCUUCAAGAGACCUACCUGCGGAGCUACAGUUUAUCACCUAAGCCUCCUUGGAGGCAAAACACCUGGAGAUGCCAUCCGGAUGGUGUUGCGAACAGUUGGAACAAACAGUGUUUGGUGUCAAUACAGCAUUAAAGGAAGGAAUGGGGGAAGAGCUGGACAUUGCGGCAUGAU